rnacentral:rRNA from 1 species
GACGAACGCUGGCGGCGUGCUUAACACAUGCAAGUCGUACGGUAAGGCCCUUUCGGGGGUCCACGAGUGGCGAACGGGUGAGUAACACGUGAGUAACCUGCCCACAACUUUGGGAUAACGCUAGGAAACUGGUGCAAAUACUGGAUAUGUGCCCCUGCUGCAUGGUGGGGGUUGGAAAGCUCCGGCGGUUGUGGAUGGACUCGCGGCCUAUCAGCUUGUUGGUGGGGUAGUGGCCUACCAAGGCGGCGACGGGUAGCCGGCCUGAGAGGGUGACCGGCCACAUUUGGACUGAGGUACGGCCCAGACUCCUACGGGAGGCAGCAGUGGGGAAUAUUGCACAAGUGGCGCAAGCCUGAUGCAGCAACGCCGCGGGCGGGAUGACGGCCUUCGGGUUGGAAACCGCUUUCAGCAGGGACGAAGCUUUUUGUGACGGUACCUGCAGAAGAAGCACCGGCUAACUACGUG